rnacentral:rRNA from 1 species
UACGGAGGGUGCGAGCGUCGUUCGGAGUUACUGGGCGUAAAGGGUGCGUAGGCGGCCUUUUAAGUUUGGUGUGAAAUCUCCCGGCUCAACCGGGAGGGUGCGCCGGAUACUGAGGGGCUAGAGUGCGGGAGAGGAAAGUGGAAUUCCUGGUGUAGCGGUGAAAUGCGUAGAUAUCAGGAGGAACACCUGCGGUGUAAACGGCUUUCUGGACCGUAACUGACGCUGAGGCACGAAAGCGUGGGUAGCAAACAGG